UUUGGCAGUGGGUCAGUAAUGGUGUGGGUGGCCGCACCAGCACUCCAUGUGCUCGCCAGAGGUAGCUUGGCUGCCAUUAGGUACUGAGAUGAGAUCCUCAGACCCCUUGUGAGACCAUAUGCUGUGCUCCCCGUCACUUCCUAAGCCCCCAUUGUCCUCCCUCACUCUAUGGGGGUCAAUAUGAUUAAAAUCUCCCCAAUGCCCCUACUCGCUAUUCCGCG